GUAUUUGCCUGUGUUUGCUUGUGGUUUGGGCCCCAUCAGCUAUCAUGCUGGCUGAUAUUAAUGCUACAGUCUGUUCUCAGAUCUGGUUUUGCUGCGAAAAAAAUAUAAGGAGGAAUGUUCAAGAGACUUUUAGCUCUGUUAAAACAGACCUGUUAUUUUACUGUUAGAUUUCUUUUUCUUCUCGGCUGCUUUCCUCUGCUUCAUCCUCUUAGUGUGCAUGACUGUGGGUUCAUAUAGUCGUGCAAUGCAAAACAUAAUAAAUUUCAAAAUGAACCAAAAAACCGUGAACAGAAAUUGCCCCUUUAAAACUGAAGCAUUAAGUUUGGCCGUGAUCCAGCCUGGAGACUUUCCCUGGCAGCGACUGUGAUGCAGAAAACUCAGUUUGGAAUUACUCUUUCAGACACAGAUUCCUGCAAGAAUAACAAGAACAUGAUAAGCCAAGUUAUGCCAGGCAGUGAAGCUCUCUGCAGUCCAGCAAAGACAUUCUGUCCGUUCACCUCCUAUGGACUUCUCUGGGGCUGCUUGCUUGUUAGGGGAAGAUGAUGGCCUUUGCCUCGUGGGAGAGGCAUCCUGUGCCAGAGCCAGGAGGGAGCAGGCUGCAGCCACCUCCAUCGUCCAGCAGCAGGGCUGGGCAGCGAGGAGCCUCCCAGACCCCGAUGUGGCUUCUGGGAGGCAGUCCCUCGCUUCCCAGGACCCAGCCUGUGCCUUCAGCUCUGGAACCGACAUGAAAACCCAACAUGGAGAUGAGGAAAAGCAACAAGAAACCAUGUGACUGAAAGCACCUCCAGGCACUGGAAAUAUAUUUGAAUAAACACGAUGCUGCUUUUUCAUCACA